GGAUGGACGCUAGCUACAGGCUUAACACAUGCAAGUCGAGGGUUUCCCUGACGAUUGCUUGCAAUUGUUGAUGGCGACCGGCGCACGGGUGAGUAACGCGUAUCCAACCUUCCCCUUAGUAGGGCAUAGCCCGGCGAAAGUCGGAUUAAUACCCUAUGUUGUCCUAUGAGGACAUCUGAGCAGGACUAAAGGUUUACCGCUAAGGGAUGGGGAUGCUUCUGAUUAGCUUGUUGGCGGGGUAACGGCCCACCAAGGCGACGAUCAGUAGGGGUUCUGAGAGGAAGGUCCCCCACAUUGGUACUGAGCCAGGAUCAAACUC
rnacentral:rRNA from 1 species